GACAGAGGAGCCAAGCGUUGUCCGGAUUGACUGGGCGUAAAGCGCACGCAGGCGGUCGCGCGCGUGGGGUGUGAAAUCUGGCCGCUUAACGGCCAGGCGCCAUCCCAUACGGCGCGACUGGAGUGAUGCAGAGGUCGAUGGAAUUGCCGGUGUAGUGGUGAAAUGCGUAGAGAUCGGCAGGAACACCCAGGGGGAAACUAGUCGACUGGGCAUCUACUGACGCUGAGGUGCGAGAGCGUGGGGAGCGAACCGG
rnacentral:rRNA from 1 species